GGUGGAGUGUUACUUUAGCUUGGCCCCUCGCCGUUUUCCUUCUUCCCCCGACGCUAACACCUCCUCUCCCCACCACUUUCUCUGUUUCCACGUCUGCACCUAUAGCAGCCACCGAAACCUCUCGCCAGGGUCGUCUUCCUCUUCUCCUUUCCUCGCUAUUUGACUUUAGCUUGUGGGUGGAGUUGCUCCCUCCCUGCUGCCACCAUACAACCAGCCACCUGCUGCCGUCCUUUUGCCAAUUUGCCGCCAGAAUCAAGUAUCUUGCCCUCCAAAAGCUAGGAAUAGCUCCUCCCCAUCCCCGUUCCUUCGCCGGCAGCCUUCAGAGCAGCCUCCUUCCCACCGCAAUCUAGUGGUUUCCGACGAAGGCAAGGUUGUGAUUUGGUGUUUUUGGCUUCAGCUUAUUUCAAGCUUCGCGUAGCCGCUUCGGAAUUCGAAUUCCAACACUGUUGGCGAUGAGGCAACAGUAAAACAUGCCACCCAUGACUACAUCAGGACUGUGUGUGCACCGGUAUAAAUAUGAGUCAGAUAAUAGAGGAAUAUUCGAUGAUGUGCCCUGGUCGAGCACAAUUCUCUAGGUCUAUGGAAGUGUGAUUUGCUGAAAAAAGAUCCAUGGUCAAACAUUGUUUUCUAAGCGCCGGCUAUAUUGGUAUUUAAGUGACCAGACUGGACUUAAGGACCUUGGUCGAGCCUUGCUCUCUGGGCGUCAGUAUUAUUGGAAUAAGAAAGUCGAAAUGCUGCUCAAAUUGGAGGUUUAGGGUUCUGCAGAAGUACUCAUCUCGUGACAACUCGGUUCUCCGCCGACUUUCUCUUGGCAGCCCGAUUUCUUUCCCUUCAGACUUAUUGUAAUUAAAUUCUACCUUUUGUAUUUCGAAUUAUUUGAAAUUUUUGACUCUCCGCAUUAGUGGACCUGAAAUUUUACAUCUUAUUUUGGUUGGUUAAAAAUUAUAGAAAAAUUAUUAAGUACGCAUGCUAAUGGAUUAAUUUAA